UGAGCUGCUGCCCCAGGGCUCCUCGCAGUGGGGCCCACGCCUCUGAUGCUCACCUCUGCCCAGGUUCUGCCCGUUGGAUCCACCGGAAUGAGCCUUUCCCCUGCUUCAAGUCGGCAGCCGAGUGGUAGAUCUCCCCACUUGCAGGACAACCUUCUCGGCCUUCUGCACCUCCUCCACCGCAGUUUGUCAGACUGUGCCUGGCAAAUUCUCACCUGCAUCUACAGGUCAGACCCCACCCUACGUCCAGGGUGGUCCUGCAGGCUGAGCAGCUCCCUCACCUGGACAGCAGCAGCAGGUGGCACACAUCCAGAUGCCCUCCUCCGCACCUGCUGGGCCUGCCCUGGGUGUAGGUACCCCACCCCCGCCACUCCCACCACAGCCGCCAGAACUGCGGUGGGGAAAACCACUAGGACACAAGGCGGCCAAUGAUUUGAACAAGCGGAAUUUCUUUGUCCUUUGUAAAAGUCAACACAUGACCUGUUACUGAUUGGGAUGUGAAAUAAAACUAAAAAUAACAGCACACUGAGUCUCCAGCAAGGCUCCGCUCACCUUUAACACAGUCCAAGUUCGGUUUAUCAGAUCCCAAGGAGCAGCUAAGCAGCAAGUCAAACACAGGUGAGGGAGGAGCAGGAGCAAGGAAGGGGCCCUGGCCUCACCCUCACCCCUUCCGGACCUGAAACAGCAUCAACUCCUGGGGAACUUGGAGGCGAAACCGCACAGAGAAUCCUGGGCCUGCUCACUUCCCUUGAUGUCUCAGUUUCCCCACUGGGAUCAUCAGGGCUUGGAACAUUCCCUCGUCUUAAGGAGGCUGUAGACAGGGGCCAAGGAGCUUGAGACAAGGCUCAGCUGUGAAACACCCUGCCAGCACCCUAGGCCAUAGGAUCCUGAUAUCGGUCAGGCCACCGCUCCACUCACUGUCUCCAACCGUGCAUUCAGGAGAGAAACUGAGGCAAGAGCCCUCACAGGGCCCCUCACCGCCCUCAUUUCGCCACUUGCCUACAAGGCCUGGGGCGGUGCCGGAAGCCUGCAGAUCAAGGGUCAAAGUCGGUUGGUUAAUUACAACCUCUCCCCUUGGAGGCGCUGGGCAGAGUGUUCAGCGCAUCCUCGCCCCACCCAGGCCUGGGGAGGGGAGUUCCGAAGGAAACCGGCUCGCUCCCGACCAAAGAUUCUGUUGGGGGUGGGGCGGACAGAAGGCUAACAAGGAAGAUGCCGCCGGGGCAAGAAACAACUGGGGUUACUCAUUCCAAGUUGACUCCGACGCUGUCAAGGCGUCUUCCGAAAAUAAACUGGCUGCCCCAGCUUCCCCAGGCUGGUCCCUGGCUGUGGGAUGGGUUCUUUAAACCCCUUCAGCUCACUGGUGUCCUCCUCUUCGAGCCUGAAGGAGGCGCGUUUCUAACCGAGGUGAGACCCGAUCCCACCUUUGUCUUAAGGGCUGGUCGCGUCUGGCGUUCCCCACGGCUGGGGCUCCUGCCUGCCCGACCCCACGGGGACCUUCUGGCCACCCGCGUUGUGGGGAAACGGAGAGAGCAAUGAAGGUGGCCUAACGCUCUGGGUCUUCUCUUCCAUUUUGCACAAACCUCAGCCCAAACUCCAGCUCGCUCCCGGCUCCCCAAAGUGACACCGCUCCAGUGCCCUCCGCCCGCCUCAUAAAAGCCCCGGCUUUCUGGAUUUACGACGCGAGAGUGGAGGGUCGCCGGGGCGGUGACACACCGUUGCCUCCCUGCGCCGCGGCUCGGGCCGGUGGAGGGAGGGCGGCCCCACGCGGGCCCGUGCGCCCCGCCGGAGCCUGGGAACCGCUGUCCCCGCGCCCACCCCCGCCCCUACAUGGCCGCUCCUUCCGCCCGCCCUCCCUCCCUCCCUCCCUCCCCUGCGCCUGGGGUCGGCCGCGCCCGCGCGGGCUAACGGGGCCGCGGCCGCUUAAACAUUAAAUCGGGCGCCGCUGCUGCGCCGGCCGCCGGGCUCUGCGCCACGGCGCCCCGCACGCCGCCCGCUCGACGGGGCCCGGCGUCCUCUCAGCGGCGCGGGGCUCGGCGCGCUGGCCGAGCGCCUCACCUGGCACGUAGAUUUCGCCGCGCUCCUCGUCGGGGAGCUCGCUCCAGUUCCUCUUGCACGUGGAGACGCACGGCUUCUUCACCAGAAACGCGCGGGCAUCUUCGAACCCUCCUCGCGCGGCACGGGCCGCUUCCGCAACUAGAGCCGGGUCGUCCCACCUUUCCCAGGCCGGGCUGGAGGCGGGCGGGGGUGGCCAGGGUGGGGAGGCAGUAGGUCGGAGAAGAAGUAACCAAAGCGCCUCGCGUUCCUCCAGGAGGCCGUGCCCGGGACGGCGCGCGCCCGUUUCUGCUCGGCGGAGCUGUUGCGUCCUCCGGUCCCAAUGAGGUCCCCUGCAGCCAGGUGCAGCGGCCGGCGGGGAAGCGUCUCCCGGCGCGACUGGCGUCCUCGCGGCCGCUCGCGGAGUCUUAAAGUGCUAGCCGGCCGGACGGGUUCACGCUUUAUUGGCUCGCGGCGGUGUGUGUUGGUGGCUGGGGCGGGAGGGGUGAUCGGAGCUAAUUAGCUUGGAG
ensembl:lncRNA